rnacentral:lncRNA from 1 species
GCGGGCACUUUAGACCCACAUCGCAGCUGCAGCCUGUAGGACACUUCUGCCUCCUCGUAGAGACGUUAGGUGAGUCCAGAGGCUGCUGUUCCUUUUCAUUAGAAGCUGGUCUUUCUUCUCCUGCAAAAAGGAGAAACCAUUAAUGUAAAUCUGUUCCUCUAACUCUUUGUAUAAAGUGGAACUCCUCGGUUUAGAAAGGCGCAGAGUAUACUCUUGCAUUAUUCUUUCAUUUGUCUAAAGGAAACACUGAAUUAAAAUUCUCAGCUUUGGUAUAAUUAACAUCUCCUUUACCACAUUUUCCCCUGCGCUCCUGCCCCACAGAUCCAGCUGUUUGAGUUCUUUGAGAAAGCAGCAGCUCAGGAGUUCAUCUUUGACCAUAUAAACUGUUUCAAAGGCGAAGGAAGUCAUGGAGUGAUCCUAUUUUUAUACAGUUUACUUUUCUCUAGGACACUGGAAAGGGUCCAAGAAGAUUUAGACAGCACGGCAACUCCUCUGUUAGACAUCAGUUUUGGAAACAUCACCUGCACACAGGUAAGAUUAGCUUAAUUUCUCAGGUUUUCCUUUUUUGUUAUUCCUACGUUUGACUUAGGAAAAAAAUCUUACUUGUUAAGCUGACGGAAAAAAAAAGCAUAAGGCCAUAGAAAAACACUUUGCAAAUUUUAAUC